AGGCACAAGAGUCCAGUUCCCUUUAUUCCUUUCUCUUUUUCUCUCGUCAAAUUCCCAGAGAUUUGAAUUAAAACCUGCUGAUCUCAACGUGCACAAGAAGGCAUUGGAGUGGGGGUUUUGCAGCUUUUAGGGUCUAACUCCAGGGCCACUUUGUAGUCGCAACAGUUCUUUCUGGCUGUGAAGGGUUUGGUGCUGUCGGUUGCAGUGCAUCCGAUCACUUCAUCGUCUACUUCAGGGGUGGCAGAAAUUUCCCAUCAUGUGACAGGAACUUUGAAAGGAUAUGACCAACUUUUGAAUUUGGUCCUGGACGAAGCCUCGGAAAGCUCAAGAGAGGAACUGCUGCUGUGUUGAUUGCUUCAACAGACGGCACUGAGGAAAUAACAAAUCCGUUACUUCAGAAUGAGAUUCCUGCUGCUACUGCUUGACCCGUCUUCUCAUCUUCUACAAUCACGUAGGCAGUGUUAAACACCUACAGCUCUACUGCUUUUGCCACAAAUAUGUGUACAAGAUGCGAUCUCCAUAUCUUUUAUGAACAUUUUUCGAAUGAGAUCAGAUCUCAUUGGACAUGUUUUGAAGCAGGUCCAGUCUCGGGAGGUACUCUGCUUUAUGUUGAACGUAACAUUGCUUCUUUUUAAGGAAAAAAAUUAGUUUUUGAUUCUUUUCAAAAUAAAUUGUAAUUGUAAUCUUCUUAAGAAUUCAGCGUUCAACAGCAUGUACCACUUCUUGUGGUCUAGACUUGCUUGAUGCUUCAAAUGAGCAGAGAGUUCAGUGAAGGGCUUGAUUGUCACAAUUUUUCGCUAAAUUUUAAAACGCGUGCUGUUUGGUUCA